rnacentral:tRNA from 1 species
GGGGUUGUGGCUCAAAGGUAGAUUGCUCACCUAGAAUGCGUGAGGCAAUGCUAAGUUCGAUCCUUAGCACCACA